rnacentral:lncRNA from 1 species
CACUUUUACUGUAGUGAGAGGUGAAGAUGUUGUGUAUGUUCUAUUGAGAACAUGAGCCCAGAUACUAGAAAAUGGGUUUGAGUUUUUUUCCUGAAAUGACCUGACUAAACCUGGGUCAUCUCCCUCAGGGCUCUCAAGGGAGGUUUGGCACUCUUAGAACAGGCUAGACCGAAGAUGGUGAAAGUCUUUGAAACCUGCUUUCUGCUUGGAUCAUAGCAUGUGGCAGGACAGGUGUGUUAGUAUUACAAUAACAAAUACCUGAAGUAAAUCAGCUUUAAAAAAGAAAGGCUAUUUUGGCUCACGCUCUGGUGGUUUCAGGCCAUGACUGACUGUUGCUUUGGGCCUGUGGCAGUGUGGUACAUCAUGGCAGAAGUACAUGGUCAGUCCCAUUCACCUCACGACUGGGAAUUAAAAAGGAGUGAAAGAAAGACCAGGGUGCCUUGAUAGACUUUGAAGGCAUGUCCCCAUGACUAGAAGACCUCCCAUUCUGCCACAUCUCUUAUUAGAGAUUCCACCACCUCCUAAUAGCUUCUCAGGCUGGUGACCAAGCCUUUAACAAUGGGGGCAUUCCAUAUGCAAACUACAGCAAUAGGAUUUUUCUGCAUUUUCAGAGAGGAAUAUAGAAUUAAGUCCAAGAAUUAAAUCACAUUGAAGGGCCUGAGCUCAAACAAGUACACAGAACAGCAAAACACACCAAUAUCAAUUCACUGUACAGGAGAUUGAGGUAACCUUUAUGCUGGAAGCUAAGAGGAGAUAACACAUGAUUUUAGUUAUUGUGUUAAGAUUAACAGAUUCUGUUUUUCACUGUGGUAUACGUGGAACAUUCCUCCCUCCCCUUUAUUUCCUCUCCUCAGCAAUUCAGGGCUCUCAAGGGAGAUUUGGCACUCUUAGGUCAGGAUGUGAGUUAGAUUCUAACUGCUCCUGAAGACCUUGCAUCAACAACUGGAGUUAGGAGGAUGGAAUACAAGAGAAUGUUCUAUUCAUUUUCAAACAUAAGUGAGUGUCACAUCACCUAGAGGAACUGUUCGAUGAGAUUGCUGGGCCAGCCCCAGGAUUUCUGUUUCCCAGUGUCUGGGGUGGGGGCCAGGACUUUGGCAGCUCUAACUUCCUGCUGCUGGUACUCUUUGACAUUUAAAAUUUCGGUGUGAAUCAAUAUUAGAAAAUUGUGUUUAUUCAGAAACACAACUGGAAAACACCGACAGAAACCAAGUGCUGGGAAAUGAAGAAUUGGAAUUAAUCCUAGGAAGGUUAAUUAACCAUUUAAAAAAUGUUUGGAUUUGGUGCUUCUCCCCCAACCCUACCUCCACAGUCCCUGAACAACACUGAAGGUCUUUGCAUCUUCAACAGAUGCACUGACACUUUCUGAUACUAUUUCCCUCUUGUUACCUGUGCUUGCAAAGGUCCAAAUAAAACAACAGGGGAGCUGGGUGUGGUGGGGCAUCCCUAUAACCCCAGUGACUGGAGGCUGGGGCAGGAGGAUAGCAAGUUCAAGGGUAGCCUGAACAAUUUAGUGAAACUGUCUCAAAAUGAAAAGGGCUAGGAAUGUAGCUCACUGGUAGAGCUCCCUGGGUUUCAAUCCCCAUUCUGCAAAAAAUAAAAACUAGCAGAAGGCAACAAGAACAACAAAAUAAUUGAACCACUGUUAGAGGGUGGUAUGUACCACUAUCUACUCGCCGUUCUUGUCCCACCUGCCCUGUCACCCUGAAGUUUGACUCCUUUGUGCUUCCCCAAAUUUACAGUAGAAUGCAUUUUGACAUUUUGUACACAAAUGGAGCACAACUUCUCAUUCCUCUGGUUGUACAUGGAUCAGAGUCACCUUGCGUUUGGUCAAGGAACUUGGCAAGAAAGCAUCAGAAAGUAAUCCAAAACGGAAGGGCAGUUGCCAUCUAUCUGGCCUGGGUUCAUUAUGUCACUUCUUUGUUUUCAAGUCACUUGUAAACUGAAGGUAAUCGGGGCAUAGUGGAGGACAGUUAAGGAAGCAAUUCUGGCUCAGUCAGCACUCUAACACAGAGAGUCCUUCCUGAUGUAUGAUAGAAGAACCUCACCAACUUUCUUGUUGCCCUGAGACUUUUCACUCUACAGUGUCAUUUUUUAAAAUAUUUUUUUUAGUUGUAGAUGGACACAAUACCCUUAUUUUGUUUUUAUUUUUAUGCGGUGCCGGGAUCGAACCUAGUGCCUCACAGGCUAGGCAAGCGCUCCACCACUGUGCCACAACCCUGGCUCUACAGUGCCAUUUUUGAUCUAGACUUGGGCUAUGGCCUUAUAGGACUACAGUGAAACUAUCACUUCUUGUGUCAGUCUUUUGUCAUCUAGGGCAAACCUGUGAGAGCCCUCCUUAAGCCUUCCUCUCAAUACUUAGUUCUGUGUGGGGCAGCCCACCCAUCCCAGGUCAUGGCUUCUUAACUGAUCUAAAAGCUUUACUUACAAUCCUUGUUAAGUAACCAAGGCUUAAAAAUGGCUUGCUGAUCUAACCUACAAUUUUAAUGGGAAAGUCUUGGGGAAAAGCCAGUCUUUAGCUUGCUCAGGACAGAGCUUACCCAGGCCAGUAAGAAUUGAAACCCUCAAUACCUCAUCAGAUAAAAAGUAAUGGACACAUGUCUUCAAUAAAUGUGUUUCUUGAUGAAUUAAUUUUGUACAUUAUCAAAAUAACAUAUAUUUUUGUUAUAUGGGCUAAGGGUAUGGCUCAGUGGUAGAGUACCAGCUGGGCAUGUACAUAGCCCUGGGUUUGAUCCCUAGCACCACAAACAAAACUAAAGUUGAAGAUCUUUUUUUUCUACACUCUAAUGGCAAAUCUCGCCCACAUUCCUCGGGACUGAGCUUUUUUCCUUGUGACCUUAGAACAAGUACCUUACAUUUAAAGGUCCUCAAUGUUUGUUAAAUGGCUGACAGACUCAAUUAAUAUAGUUAGCACUUAUGCUGAAGAGAAAUCAUUUACAAUAGGAAGAGGAAGGCUGUGUUGAGGGAGCUGGGAAUCCACAGACCUCCAUUCCAAUCCUUGCUCUGCUACUAACUGGCUGGGACACUUUAGGUCAUUCAGUUCAUCCUCUCUUGCCUUCAGUUCCCUUAUUUGUACAGUGAGCUGGGGGUUAGCUGGCUUCCAGGGCCUUAUCUAGCUGCAUAUAGUUUAUGAAGUGCUAUAUUUAUUUUUGUGUAUAUAUACACACUAAGUUCCACUGAUAGUCUGAUAUGUACACAUCCUUUAUAGGACAGAUAUAUCCUUGUGGUGGUAGAUUAAACCCCAAACAAGCCAAGUGACUUAGUUCUGCUCAGAGCCCUAAAAUGUUUGUAUCUUUGCCAAUAUUUCUGUGCCUUGCUCAUCAUCCUCUCUAACACAAAAAAGUAGGACCUAGAAUAUAUCUGCAGUUGUCUUAGUAACUCCUCACAUUUGCACAUUGCUUUAAAAAUUUUAAAGCAUUUGUAAAUACUUUUAUCUUGUUCUUCCCCCCAAACCUUGUAACUACGGUAGGUGGCUUUGUAUUACUUUAUAAAAGUUUCCAACAGACACAGAUGUGUUUAAUUACUUGCCCAAGAUCAGUUGUUUAAGUGAGAAAGUUAGAAAGCCGUCAGUCUUCUCAUUCUUUCUCAGUUUGUUGAAUUUAUAGUAAUUAGAAACAUGAAAAUUCAUAUAGACGUAAGAACAACAACAAAAAGUAUUGGAUGCUAGGAAUGAAAGAAAAAGGUCAAAAUCAUUGAUUAUAAAUUAUAGCUUUAAAAUGAAUAAUCAGGGGGCUCAGGGUGUAACUCAGUGUUGGAAUGCUCAGCAUGUGCAAGGCUCUGUGGUCAUCCCCAGCACCACCAAAAGGGAAAAAUAUCAUUAAUUUGAUGCUAUCAUUGUGCAGAGAGGUUGGUGAGCUUGUUAAAACACAACAACCCAUUUCUUAAUCUACCUUUUGAGAACACAACUAAGAAUGAUGAAUCAAAGAUCUUUGCAUGUGUUUAAUGUACCUGAUCUCAGAAUUUCUUAAUUCUUGUCUUCUAAAAAGUUUGGUUAUAGCAAAAACAAUAAAGCCC